UUCGCAAUGCCCGAAAGGGUGACAAUGCGACUCCGCGUGUGGGAUGAAGGCCUUCGGGUUGUAAACCACUGUCGACCUGGAUGAAGGCAUAAGGGUUAAUAACCUUUAUGAUUGACGGUACAGGUGGAGGAAGCCACGGCUAACUCUGUGCCAACAGCCGCGGUAAUACAGAGGUGGCAAGCGUUGUUCGGAUUCACUGGGUGUAAAGGUCAUGUAGGCGUCUUGUUAAGUCGGGCGUGAAAUCCUAUGGCUCAACCAUAGAACUGCGCCCGAUACUGGCAGGAUUGAGUACGGGAGAGGUAAGCGGAAUUCCAGAAGUAAGGGUGAAAUCUGUAGAUAUCUGGAAGAACACCAUUAGCGAAGGCGGCUUACUGGUCCGAUACUGACGCUGAAAUGAGAAAGCUAGGGGAGCAAACAGGAUUAGAUACCCUGGUAGUCCUAGCCGUAAACGAUGGGCACUAAGUAGAGGGGUUUU
rnacentral:rRNA from 1 species